UUCCUUUAUUACCACAUAAGCCAGAGAUGAAGAUGACCUAUUGGACCAUUCUGUGCAACUUCCUGCAAAUCCAGGAGACUUACGCCUUACAGCUUUAUCAUUAGGUGCUGGAGAGAGAAAGAACCUUUCAGUAUUCAAAAAGCAUUUGUCAUUUAAUAUAUUAUAAUGCCAAAAAGCCAAGAAUUUAUCUCAGUUAUUCAAAUCCACACGUCAAAUUAACAUCCAUUUAAACUAAAAUUAGCUAUGUUUUCUCUUACAAAGAACUUGAAGCACAAGAAAUGCUCUUAUGAGAGCUCCUAUUCCCUUCUUCCUUCACAGGAGAGCAGAACAGCAUUCCUCUGGUAAGGGUGCUGUCAGCAUAACACAGUGGCUGAGAUACUUCAGACCUUUCACACUGUGGCACAGAAGAGACCAGGGUUAACCCAGAGAAAAGGAUGUACCAGUACAGUUUUAGGCUGUUGAUAGCGCCCCAAAAAGUACUUCCUCCAUGUGGCACUUCAGUGUCACUUAGUUGGGGAGCACUGAUGGAGCCUCUUACUAUCUUCUCCAUCCAACUCUCCCUAGACUAACCCAGCCCAUCUCCUUCUGCCUCUUUUCUGAAUGGACAGCAGAUUUGGGGUGAAAGUCGAUGUAACUUUAGACCAUAAUCAAACAUCUAAUGAGUGCUGUUCAAAUAAAGAGGAGUUACAGGAGAAAAUUAAAGAAAACGUAUAAUUAGCUUAAUUUCAGAUGAGUAAAACUUAAAUACAGGGAAAACUCGGUGAACCCAAAUGCACCUUACAGGUUGGCAGUGCAAUUCAUUUCAAGCCAACGACCUCCCUGCUCUCCCUUUGGUGCUGUGGGAAGGUCUGUUGUGGGUGAUGCAGGAGGUAGGCAGUGCACUUCUUGCUCUCCACCUUUGGAAAUGCUUUGUAAAUUGGAGGAAAAUAUGGAACUACUAUGGAAAAUAUGUGUGGAGCAGAAGGGCCCCACAUUCUCCACACUGAUUGUGGCCUUUAGUCACAAGCCAACAAGGAGCUGAUGAACCUAAACCUCAUAUUUCUGAGUGAUACUGAAGAGUUUUUCAUUCAGAGGAGUUCACAGGGCCACAGCAACAGUGUGGAAGUGAUGGACUGCAACUUCAUACCUCUAAAAACAAAGAACGCCGCAUAGCCCGGUGUGUCUUACUGAUGGAUGGCAGCAAAGAGAUUGAGUCAUUAGUGCCAAAUCAGCACAAAUACUUGAACAGAAGAAAUAAAUAGCUUCUGACCUCACCUGCACAUUUGUUACAAUGCAUCAGGAAGCAUUCCUGACACAUCUGUGGAGCUGACUUGUGGGAGGUGCAGAACACGAAGAAGUGGUGAGCAGUCAUUGAAGUCAACUGACAGGUGUCAUACGCUGGAAAGUCAUUACGCAGAGGAACGCAGGAGGCGGGCCCGUGAGUCGUGUGAAAUUGGAGGAAUGGAGAGCAUGCAGUCACAAUCACCAGCCCUGCCACUCUGCCAGGGAGCAGGACUGAACUGACUUUUGGCCCCUCUCGGAAGCAGCACAGUGUGCUCAGUUUAGAGUCCUCUGCUCAGGUAACAUGCCAACCCACGUCACUGUCGUAGAAAUAAGAGACAGCGGGGUUGGAGAGAAUGUCAAGAGGUUGUCCAAGGCAGCCACCUGUCCCAUGACAGGACUCACCUCUGCCUGAAGCAUUUCCAACAGAUACUUACGUCCUGAUGUUUUAUUGAUUUCACUUCAAUCUCAUUGCUGCUUCCUGAACCGCUUACAUUUCCUAACAAGCGUAGUACAAAACCAGACCUGCUACUUCAGCUGAUGCCUCACCAGAGCUGAACGGUUAUUUUACAUCACGUAGAUGACAAUGUUUAUACACCACCAUGUAUCUGUCCCAUUGUGCAGCACCACAGUGUUGUUAGAACACGUCACCAAACAAACACAAACCACCUACCUGACAUUUUUCUGCCCAGCUGACCUCUAAUUCCUUUGUCCAAUAUCUCAAGAUGGUUUGGACUCCUAUGCAUGCUGUGAUCUUGAACAUGAGCUAUUUUUCAUACUUGUGUUAAUAAGCAGAAGACUCAUCUCACCCGCAGACUGGUCCAAAGUUUCAAAAAGCAGAGAUCAAGUCAACAAUAGAAUCAAGUAAUUCUUAGUUCUGCUGAAAUCUAUCAGAAAAGUUCUUGCAACUUCCAACAACACAAAGAUGUGAUCCACCAGAACAGAUUGACAGACUGGAUAUCUUGGUUUUAUUUUUGUCAGAGCCAAGCAUGCUAAGUCAAGAUCAGAGACAUGCACAGCAUGCCAUACAAACUAAACUGCUCGUUGGCAAUGACAUUUUGCAUAUGCGUCCUACAAUCCAUCAAUUGCUGCUUAUAUGUGGUUGUUUGGUAUUCUUUUCUGUACCUUUCAAAAAAUAAAAAGCCAAG
ensembl:lncRNA